AGAAAAGCUAUACUCAAAAACUGUUAUACCUCCAACAUUUAUGGGAGAUUCUCUUUUUAUCAAUUAAACCUCCCUAACAAAAAACAAAUUGUAGUUACCAAAAAAAAAAACAACCCUUAUUUCAUUUUUAUUCUCUUCUAUAUUUCUUCUCUAGCCGCCUCCAAAAUUUUUACUCACUACCAAUAACCAUUUCCGGCCAUUCACUACACUGCUCGCCUCUAUUGUCGCCGCCGGUCAAAGAUCUACUUCAGAGAUACCAAUGCUGUGAAGUUUUGCAUUUGAAGAAUUCGAUCAAAUUUAGAGCAAACGUUAGAUAGGAUUAUCAUGAGCACUACUGCUACAGGAGAGCAUGAAACCUUAUUUGAGCAACUCAAGAGUACUGAUGAGUCAGUGACGCUUGAUAAAUUUUCUGACGAGAGAAAUAACAAGAGAUCAAUUAAACGACUUGAGAAACAAAUAAAAAAAAUGAAAAGAAAAAAUCAAACGAAGGAACAAGAAUUUGUAAAAUUACUUGAAGUAAUUGUUCGUCUUGUUGAGGUCGUGGAGUUUGGAAGUAGAAGUAAUGACAUAUCUAAUGUGGAUAGGGAAACUCCAAAUUCUAGUAUACCAGAUGUUAUUAAAGUGUUAAAUUCCUUACCUGGAAUUGAGAUUGGGAGCAAUUUAUAUUUCUUUGCAACUCGCUUGUUUAUAGUGAAAGAAAAAAGAGAGAUAUUUCUUUCACUUGAAAAUCCCAAUCUCAAGCUUGACUGGCUCAAGUAUGAGCAAAAGAUGUUUAUUUCAUCAAAAAAUCAUGAACUCAACUCAAGCUUAAUUGGCUAAGUAUGAACAUCAUGUUACAGCUAUACGUCUACCGCUCUAGUAUAAGUAUGAUGCUUAAAUUUAUAGUAUUUGUUUUUAAACCUUGUGUUAUGACUAUUUAAUGUAUGUUUUCCAUAUUAUUAUGAGUACUAGUAUUUGUUUUA